rnacentral:rRNA from 1 species
UACGUAGGGGGCAAGCGUUGUCCGGAUUUAUUGGGCGUAAAGGGCGCGUAGGCGGCCUUUCAAGUGACGGGUGAAAUCCCUCGGCUUAACCGAGGAACUGCCUGUCAGACUGGAAGGCUUGAGACCGGGAGAGGUGAGUGGAAUUCCCAGUGUAGCGGUGAAAUGCGUAGAUAUUGGGAGGAACACCAGUGGCGAAGGCGGCUCACUGGACCGGUACUGACGCUGAGGCGCGAAAGCGUGGGGAGCAAACAGG